UAAUCAUUGGAAACGAUGACUAAUACCGCAUACGGUUCCCGGGAGGCAUCUUCCGGGAAAGAAAGGAUUUAUUCGGUGCAGGAUGGGCCCGCAUCUGAUUAGCUAGUUGGUGAGAUAACAGCUCACCAAGGCGACGAUCAGUAGCCGACCUGAGAGGGUGACCGGCCACAUUGGGACUGAGACACGGCCCAAACUCCUACGGGAGGCAGCAGUGGGGAAUAUUGCACAAUGGGCGAAAGCCUGAUGCAGCAACGCCGCGUGAAGGAAGAAGGGUUUCGGCUCGUAAACUUCUAUCAACAGGGACGAAAGAAAUGACGGUACCUGAAUAAGAAGCCCCGGCUAACUACGUGCCAGCAGCCGCGGUAAUACGUAGGGGGCAAGCGUUAUCCGGAAUUACUGGGUGUAAAGGGUGAGUAGGCGACAUGGUAAGCCAGAUGUGAAAGCCUUGGGCUUAACCCAAGGAUUGCAUUUGGAACUAUCAAGCUAGAGUACAGGAGAGGAAAGCGGAAUUCCUAGUGUAGCGGUGAAAUGCGUAGAUAUUAGGAAGAACACCAGUGGCGAAGGCGGCUUUCUGGACUGAAACUGACGCUGAGGCACGAAAGCGUGGGGAGCGAACAGGAUUAGAUACCCUGGUAGU
rnacentral:rRNA from 1 species